UCUCCAAAGUAAGAAAAUAUAAAGAAAUAAGUAGGAGGCGUGUGUUAUGGAAUGUCUUCAGUGAUGCUUCAUGGAGAUGCCAGGAGCUAGCUACAGCAGCGCUAAGGUAAGCUAUGCUGGUGUGUGUGCGUGUGUGCGUGUGUGUGCCUUGAGGAGUAUAGACUUGAUUGGUCGACUCCAACCACACUUGGCGACCCAGUGUAAGGCUGGAAGCCCUGCCCACCACACCAGUCGGUCCGUGAGAUUGGUGGAAUGCAUGAGAGUAUUGAUCCUAGCCAGUCAGAGCGAGCCUUACAUAUAUAAAUAAAACUAGCUCAUUAACUCUAUCUUAUACACACACAAUGACCUGGUACAUUCAACACUUUGACCUUUUACCUCUCAGGGCAAGGUCUUCAUCAUCAUCUUCACCCCAGGCCUUCAACUUAGGAGCAGAGUUCAGUUCAGAGAGUUUGUGUAUAAGCCGGAAUAUUGGA